ensembl:lncRNA
UUUAAGAGAAGAACAUUGCCUAAAAUGACACAUCAAACUACAAUAUCCGCAGCAUUUGGCAAGUAGGGAAACAACAAGAGCAAAGCCAGUUGUUCAUAAUUUUUUUUUUUUUUCUAGGGGCCAAGGGCCAAUUUGUAGCUCAAAUGCCAAACCUAGAGGCAGGAGGAGGAUGAUGGGAUUGCAGCAGUGGCCAGUUGGAAGCUGCAUUCAAGUGGAGCUGCAGAAGCCUGAUAGCGCUCCAUCCAGCAUAGAGUGACCAGAGCCAAAAAACACUGGCCUUCACCUGACACAAAACUUCAAAGACGCUGCACCUUUCCGCACCAGAUUGCCAGGCCCCCUCUCUCCGCCACACAUCAGUACCCAGCCUGCUGCCUGCUCCCUGAAGGAUGGACCAACACCUGCUGUUGGCAGCCACUGCCUCCCCCUUCCUCGUUUCCCAGUGCACCGUCUUCAUGAGCUCCAGCGCUUCAGGUGCAGUAUAUACAGGAAAUGUGGCGUUGAGGGAGGGGUAAAAAUCUCAACCUGGAAUCAAACCUGCAUCACCCACAUGACCACCAAGGUUUCGCAGGCUGUAGCUCAACACUGAUCUUGGACAGCAAAUGCUACCUAUUAACAUUUAAACCUAGUGGGACGGCUGGAUGUAAGAAGAAUCACUUUAUAGGCCAACGGUGACACACUUUAGGCCUUAACCCUGGUGUCCAAGUCCAGGCCUGUUCCAGCAGUCACCACCUGAGUCUGACACCAAACCUGAAGGCCUUCGGAGAGGUAACAGGGUGUGAGGACAGCUCUCCAGGCAGACCUAACCAGCCAACUAGACUGAAAACAAAUGAAAGCAGGUUUGUUUAGGCGCUAAAUAUAUCAGUUUAUAACUUAAAAACACUGAAGGAACUUGCAUAACUCAACACAGACUGCAGGGAACACAAGAUCAGAGCUAAAACACACUUCUGUCAUCAAAUCAGAAAUGUAGUUUGGAAAUCUACCAUCCUUUGGGCUUUUGAAAGGUGUUAUUUCAGAUCAGUGGCAGUAUCACAAAGUGCAGAGGCUUUUUUAAUGCCAUCUCUUGGGGGGCGGGGGGGAUUGCUACACCAGGCCAGUGUGACUGCCAGACAGCUCAGCUUGUCUGUUAAUCUGCGCUCACUGUGAAAGGGGGGCAAGCGGACGGUGCUGCC